rnacentral:rRNA from 1 species
GACAGAGGCCCCAAGCGUUAGGCGGAAUCACUGGGCUUAAAGCGUGUGUAGGCGGAUCGUUAAGUGUCUUGUGAAAUCCCACGGCUCACCCGUGGAACUGCUGGGCAUACUGGCGAUCUUGGGCCAACUAGGGGCAGUCGGAACAAGCGGUGGAGCGGUGAAAUGCGUAGAUAUCGCUUGGAACGCCAAAGGUGAAAACAGGUUGCUGGGGUUGUGCCGACGCUGAGACACGAAAGCCAGGGGAGGCAAACGGG